GCUCCAAACAUGACGGUGGGCGAUCUUUUUAUUUUGGUCCGCGCGAAGUUCAGAGCGAGCAUGAGAGGGAGACUGCGAUGCCUCCAUCCGAGAUGGCAACCUCACUAGUGGAUCACAAUGUGGCUGGAAGCCCGAAUUGGCGGGAAACGAUGGCGAUCUUUUUGGAGCGAGAGGAAAGGGAGAGAAGAGUUGCGAGGCGUAAUUUGCAGGAGGAAGUGGUCAGCACGUGGGGAG